GCUGGGUGUGGUGGUGCAUGCCUGUGAUCCCAGAGACUUGGAGGCUGAGGCAGGAAGAUGGCAAGUUGAUGGCCAACCUCAGCAACUU
rnacentral:sRNA from 1 species